UAAAAUUUCAAGCAUCCAUUUUUAUAUCUCGCCGCGGGCCAUGCAGCUUUCAGCAUGAGCAUCUUGUCCUCACAGUUACCUUAAUGCAUCUUGUUGAUCUUCAUCAGCGCUUCAUCCCCACGUGUCCUCAAAACCCCCACCCUUCAUCUCGUUUCCAGCCCCUCUUUGUCCUCGCAGCCCCGGCAACAUUCCUCCAGCAGCUUCCCGUAAGCACAUCGUCUGACUGGGAAGCUGAAUAUUUAGAUGUCAAAAGCAGAACCCUGUGUCUGAAGAAAAGAGGAGAGGAGGAGGAAAGACCACCCAUCCGAGCGCCUGCUGGAGAAUCGACUGUCAUCAUUUUCUUCCCGAAAGUGCCAAUAACACCACCGAGACUUCGGCUACAAAAGCAACAAUGAUCACAGUCACACCCGGGAGUAUCAGCUUCACUUACCUUUAACGAAGCCUAAGAAGGAACUUCAUUAGCUUCUGAUAUUCAAUCUGUAGAUAAUGUGAGUUCAAAGUAAAGUGAAAACUGAGGUGUGGAGCUACAUUCUCUGUAGAUAAACACAGCUAUCUGAUAACAUAUUUCAGUUUUCAUCAUAUUUCUAAGUAACACUAACAGUUCGAUUUCUGUUCCGGUAUUUGCACUAGGCUUACUGUUGACCUGGUAAAUGUGUCACCUUUUCAGGUAGUCCUCAGUCUCUUUGUGGUCAGCAAUGCACACGCUACAACGGUUUGACUCAUAAUACCUCUGCCUUUUCUUGUAUCAAUGCAUCCUUUUUUGCAUUUGUGUUGUACUCCACCUUGUAAUUGUGACUACCUCCAGGCAAGGCUUUGAACAAAGCAUUCCUAGGAAGGAUACACUUAAAAAGAGUUGCUUUCUCACGCUCUCUUUUCCAUUUCCUGUGGCUUUUCUCAUUAUUUGCCAUCAUAUGUCAUGUCAGAGUGUCUGAUGUUUCCCUAGUGACAGCCGGGGCUUGAAUGAGUAAAUUAUGAUGGUGUGCUCCUGUUUAGACCUGUUAAAAGGUGACAUCAUUUAGGCAGUUUUUUUUCUCUGUUUGAUAACAUUCUGGAUAUAACGUAAAGCCAUGGGUUGUGCCAUGUGCACGCAGUUGAUGGAUUUGUGGUGUUGGUCUAGCUCACAGAGAGGCCAGACAUCAAUGGACAUGUCCUAUAUGCCGGAGGUCACUCAACAAGACUACCACAGACUGUCAGGUCUCCAUUAUACUUCCUCUUUCUCUGAUGCGGAGGAUUGCUGUGAUGACAUCACAACCACAAGCUCCUCAUCCUCUUCUUCGGACUAUCUCGGAAUUGACUGUUGACCCUUGUUGUGCUUUUAGGUUUUUGUAGGUUCCUCAAAUCUUGUGCCAAAUUUUUUCCAUUGUCUUUGGCUCCCAAGUCAUCACUCAAUGAUACAGAACAAUUAUUAAGCCAUGACUAAAUUAAACCAGAGGCUCCUCCAAGUAGGUAUCGCUGCAGCCUGGAGACCUCCAAGUGGGAGGGAUUACACCGCAAGUGGGUUGGGUGACCUUCAAGUGGGAGGGACUUAAACCACAAGUAGGUUGGGUGUAGGUGGAGUAGAUGCUAAUAAAACACAUCAAGGUUACACACGGUAACACAGCAGGUUACUGUGAGGUUGGAUUAAGGGUAAGGGUAUGUGUAGAGAUUCAUUAAGCACAAUUUUGGAAUCUGCGUCAUGUACAAGACAUUAAAUAAAUAAAAACUCCAGAUUUGUACAGCUCACUUGGAGCUUGAAAGUCCACCCUUAUGGAGCUCAAGUCCCACCCCCUUCUUGGAGCUGGCUUCGACCUCCGUUUAUACCCUUCUCGUUUCCUCUGGUCUUGGGUGUUUGAAAAUGUUGUGUUAUCAUCAGGGGCAGAAACUUUAUAUUGAUUUUAUAUUAUAUUGAUUUUUGUUUGUCUUUUAUUAAUUUAAACUGGUGUUUUUCUCAUUUCUUUUGUCUGUUUUAUCUUAAUGCAAUCUUUACUUUUUGAAUUAUUUGUUUCCUUAAAAUGAAUCCACAACUACAAAUAAUAAAAAAAUUAACAA
ensembl:lincRNA